rnacentral:rRNA from 1 species
UACGGGGGGAGCAAGCGUUGUUCGGAUUUCCUGGGCGUAAAGGGCGCGUAGGCGGCCACCGCAAGUCGACUGUGAAAUCUCCGGGCUUAACCCGGAAAGGUCAGCCGAUACUGCGGGGCUAGAGUGCAGAAGGGGCAACUGGAAUUCUCGGUGUAGCGGUGAAAUGCGUAGAUAUCGAGAGGAACACCUGCGGCGAAGGCGGGUUGCUGGGCUGACACUGACGCUGAUGCGCGAAAGCUAGGGGAGCGAACGGG